GAUGAACGCUGGCGGCGUGCCUAAUACAUGCAAGUAGAACGCAGAAGAGAGGAGCUUGCUCUUCUUGGAUGAGUUGCGAACGGGUGAGUAACGCGUAGAUAACCUGCCUUUUAGAGGGGGAUAACUACUGGAAACGAUAGCUAAUACCGCAUAACAUUGUGAACCACAUGGCUUAUUUGUGAAAGACGCAUUUGCUCCACUAUAAGAAGGAAUUCCGGUGUAUUAGCUAGUUGGUGAGGUAAUGGGUCAACUAAGGGAAGAAACAUAGACCAACCGGGAGGGUGGACGGCCAAACUGGGACUGGAGAACGGCCCAGGCUCCUACGGGAGGCAGCAGGAGGGGAUCUUCGGGAAUGGGGGGAACGCUGAACGGGGAAAGCCGGGUGAGGGGAGGAGGGUUUCGGAUCGGAAAACUCUGUUUUAAGGCAAGAACGGGUGGGGGAGUGGAAAGUGCACACUGUGACGGUAGCUUACCAGAAAGGGACGGCUAACUACGUG
rnacentral:rRNA from 1 species